GGGCACAUGGUGUAGUUGGUUAUCACAUCCGCUUAGCAUAAGGCAAAAACCAGGAAAAGCAGUGCGGGGGGUGCUGGGUUCAAUUCCCAGUGUGUCCA